rnacentral:misc_RNA from 1 species
AGAUAUAGCAUAUUCUUCUGAAUAUACUUUAUUAACCCAUUCGAGUACCUUACCCGUUGCUUCCGCGAGGCUGUCCUCACGGCCCUCUGAAGAUUAUCUUUGGGGAGUCCUUGCGGAAGGUAUACAAUAAACUCUUGCAUUACCCAUGUCAUCUGUCUGAAUCUGUUUAAAGCAAAUAUUAA